rnacentral:rRNA from 1 species
GGGUUGUGAGGUUAAGCGACUAAGCGUACACGGUGGAUGCCCUGGCAGUCAGAGGCGAUGAAGGACGUGCUAAUCUGCGAAAAGCGUCGGUAAGGUGAUAUGAACCGUUAUAACCGGCGAUGUCCGAAUGGGGAAACCCAGUGCAAUUCGUUGCACUAUCGUUAACUGAAUACAUAGGUUAACGAGGCGAACCGGGGGAACUGAAACAUCUAAGUACCCCGAGGAAAAGAAAUCAACCGAGAUUCCCCCAGUAGCGGCGAGCGAACGGGGAGCAGCCCGGAGUCUGAAUCAGCUUGUGUGUUAGUGGAAGCGUCUGGAAAGUCGCAGGGUACAGGGUGAUACUCCCGUACACUAAAACACACAGGCUGUGAACUCGAAGAGUAGGGCGGGACACGUGGUAUCCUGUCUGAAUAUGGGGGACCAUCCUCCAAGGCUAAAUACUCCUGACUGACCGAUAGUGAACCAGUACCGUGAGGGAAAGGCGAAAAGAACCCCGGCGAGGGGAGUGAAAAAGAACCUGAAACCGUGUACGUACAAGCAGUAGGAGCCCACUAGUUGGGUGACUGCGUACCUUUUGUAUAAUGGGUCAGCGACUUAUAUUCUGUAGCAAGGUUAACCGAAUAGGGGAGCCGCAGGGAAACCGAGUCUUAACUGGGCGUUAAGUUGCAGGGUAUAGACCCGAAACCCGGUGAUCUAGCCAUGGGCAGGUUGAAGGUUGGGUAACACUAACUGGAGGACCGAACCGACUAAUGUUGAAAAAUUAGCGGAUGACUUGUGGCUGGGGGUGAAAGGCCAAUCAAACCGGGAGAUAGCUGGUUCUCCCCGAAAGCUAUUUAGGUAGCGCCUCGUGAACUCAUCUUCGGGGUAGAGCACUGUUUCGGCUAGGGGGUCAUCCCGACUUACCAACCCGAUGCAAACUACGAAUACCGAAGAAUGUUAUCACGGGAGACACACGGCGGGUGCUAACGUCCGUCGUGAAGAGGGAAACAACCCAGACCGCCAGCUAAGGUCCCAAAGUCAUGGUUAAGUGGGAAACGAUGUGGGAAGGCCCAGACAGCCAGGAUGUUGGCUUAGAAGCAGCCAUCAUUUAAAGAAAGCGUAAUAGCUCACUGGUCGAGUCGGCCUGCGCGGAAGAUGUAACGGGGCUAAACCAUGCACCGAAGCUGCGGCAGCGACACUAUGUGUUGUUGGGUAGGGGAGCGUUCUGUAAGCCGUUGAAGGUGGCCUGUGAGGGUUGCUGGAGGUAUCAGAAGUGCGAAUGCUGACAUAAGUAACGAUAAUGCGGGUGAAAAACCCGCACGCCGGAAGACCAAGGGUUCCUGUCCAACGUUAAUCGGGGCAGGGUGAGUCGACCCCUAAGGCGAGGCCGAAAGGCGUAGUCGAUGGGAAACAGGUUAAUAUUCCUGUACUUGGUGUUACUGCGAAGGGGGGACGGAGAAGGCUAUGUUGGCCGGGCGACGGUUGUCCCGGUUUAAGCAUGUAGGCGGAUGUUCCAGGUAAAUCCGGAACGUUACUAACGCUGAGGUGUGAUGACGAGGCACUACGGUGCUGAAGUGACAAAUGCCCUGCUUCCAGGAAAAGCCUCUAAGCAUCAGGUAACAUCAAAUCGUACCCCAAACCGACACAGGUGGUCAGGUAGAGAAUACCAAGGCGCUUGAGAGAACUCGGGUGAAGGAACUAGGCAAAAUGGUGCCGUAACUUCGGGAGAAGGCACGCUGAUGGUAAGUGAAGUGACUUGCUCACGGAGCUGAAAUCAGUCGAAGAUACCAGCUGGCUGCAACUGUUUAUUAAAAACACAGCACUGUGCAAACACGAAAGUGGACGUAUACGGUGUGACGCCUGCCCGGUGCCGGAAGGUUAAUUGAUGGGGUUAUCCUCACGGAGAAGCUCUUGAUCGAAGCCCCGGUAAACGGCGGCCGUAACUAUAACGGUCCUAAGGUAGCGAAAUUCCUUGUCGGGUAAGUUCCGACCUGCACGAAUGGCGUAAUGAUGGCCAGGCUGUCUCCACCCGAGACUCAGUGAAAUUGAACUCGCUGUGAAGAUGCAGUGUACCCGCGGCAAGACGGAAAGACCCCGUGAACCUUUACUAUAGCUUGACACUGAACACUGGUCCUUGAUGUGUAGGAUAGGUGGGAGGCUUUGAAGUGUGGACGCCAGUCUGCAUGGAGCCGUCCUUGAAAUACCACCCUUUAAUGGCUGGUGUUCUAACGUGGGCCCGUAAUCCGGGUUGCGGACAGUGUCUGGUGGGUAGUUUGACUGGGGCGGUCUCCUCCUAAAGAGUAACGGAGGAGCACGAAGGUCAGCUAAUCCUGGUCGGACAUCAGGAGGUUAGUGCAAUGGCAUAAGCUGGCUUGACUGCGAGCGUGACGGCGCGAGCAGGUGCGAAAGCAGGUCAUAGUGAUCCGGUGGUUCUGAAUGGAAGGGCCAUCGCUCAACGGAUAAAAGGUACUCCGGGGAUAACAGGCUGAUACCGCCCAAGAGUUCAUAUCGACGGCGGUGUUUGGCACCUCGAUGUCGGCUCAUCACAUCCUGGGGCUGAAGUAGGUCCCAAGGGUAUGGCUGUUCGCCAUUUAAAGUGGUACGCGAGCUGGGUUUAGAACGUCGUGAGACAGUUCGGUCCCUAUCUGCCGUGGGCGCUGGAGAAUUGAGGGGGGCUGCUCCUAGUACGAGAGGACCGGAGUGGACGCAUCACUGGUGUUCGGGUUGUCAUGCCAAUGGCAUUGCCCGGUAGCUAAAUGCGGAAGAGAUAAGUGCUGAAAGCAUCUAAGCACGAAACUUGCCCCGAGAUGAGUUCUCCCUGACUCCUUGAGAGUCCUGAAGGAACGUUGAAGACGACGACGUUGAUAGGCCGGGUGUGUAAGCGCAGCGAUGCGUUGAGCUAACCGGUACUAAUGAACCGUGAGGCUUAACCUUACAACGCCGAAG